UAGGGAAUCUUCCGCAAUGGACGAAAGUCUGACGGAGCAACGCCGCGUGAGCGAUGAAGGCCUUCGGGUCGUAAAGCUCUGUUGUUAGGGAAGAACAAGUACCGUUCGAAUAGGGCGGUACCUUGACGGUACCUAACCAGAAAGCCACGGCUAACUACGUGCCAGCAGCCGCGGUAAUACGUAGGUGGCAAGCGUUGUCCGGAAUUAUUGGGCGCAAAGCGCGCGCAGGCGGUUCCUUAAGUCUGAUGUGAAAGCCCACGGCUCAACCGUGGAGGGUCAUUGGAAACUGGGGAACUUGAGUGCAGAGGAGGAAAGCGGAAUUCCACGUGUAGCGGUGAAAUGCGUAGAGAUGUGGAGGAACACCAGUGGCGAAGGCGGCUUUCUGGUCUGUAACUGACGCUGAGGCGCGAAAGCGUGGGGAGCAAACAGGAUUAGAUACCCUGGUAGUCCACGCCGUAAACGAUGAGUGCUAAGUGUUAGGGGGUUUCCGCCCUUAGUGCUGCAGCUAACG
rnacentral:rRNA from 1 species